rnacentral:rRNA from 1 species
GGAUUAGAUACCCUGGUAGUCCAUGCCGUAAACGAUGUGUGUUAGACGUUGGAAAUUUAUUUUCAGUGUCGCAGCGAAAGCGAUAAACACACCGCCUGGGGAGUACGACCGCAAGGUUAAAACUCAAAUGAAUUGACGGGGACCCGCACAAGUAGUGGAGCAUGUGGUUUAAUUCGAAGAUACGCGCAGAACCUUACCAACACUUGACAUGUUCGUCGCGACUUUAAGAGAUUAAAGUUUUCGGUUCGGCCGGACGAAACACAGGUGCUGCAUGGCUGUCGUCAGCUCGUGCC